UGGGGAAUUUUGGACAAUGGGCGCAAGCCUGAUCCAGCCAUGCCGCGUGCGGGAAGAAGGCCUUCGGGUUGUAAACCGCUUUUGUCAGGGAAGAAAAGGUUCUGGUUAAUACCUGGGACUCAUGACGGUACCUGAAGAAUAAGCACCGGCUAACUACGUGCCAGCAGCCGCGGUAAUACGUAGGGUGCAAGCGUUAAUCGGAAUUACUGGGCGUAAAGCGUGCGCAGGCGGUUAUGCAAGACAGAGGUGAAAUCCCCGGGCUCAACCUGGGAACUGCCUUUGAGACUGCAUAGCUAGAGUACGGUAGAGGGGGAUGGAAUUCCGCGUGUAGCAGUGAAAUGCGUAGAUAUGCGGAGGAACACCGAUGGCGAAGGCAAUCCCCUGGACCUGUACUGACGCUCAUGCACGAAAGCGUGGGGAGCAAACAGG
rnacentral:rRNA from 1 species